rnacentral:misc_RNA from 1 species
GAUGAAGAACGCAGCGAAAUGCGAUAAGUAAUGUGAAUUGCAGAAUUCAGUGAAUCAUCGAAUCUUUGAACGCACAUUGCGCCCCCUGGUAUUCCGGGGGGCAUGCCUGUUCGAGCGUCAUUUCACCACUCAAGCCUCGCUUGGUAUUGGGCAACGCGGUCCGCCGCGUGCCUCAAAUCGACCGGCUGGGUCUUCUGUCCCCUAAGCGUUGUGGAAACUAUUCGCUAAAGGGUGUUCGGGAGGCUACGCCGUAAAACAACCCCAUUUCUAAGGUUGACCUCGGAUCAGGUAGGGAUACCCGCUGAACUUAAGCAUAUCAAUAACGGAGGA